CCGGGUUGCCGUAUCGGAGUCGAUCCUUCCGUCCCAG
rnacentral:tRNA from 1 species